rnacentral:lncRNA from 1 species
UUAAUAUGUAAUUUAAUUGAAUAUAGUUGAGUUCAGAUCCAAUUAAAUGGAUAGAACAAAAUUUAAUUAAAAGGGGAAAAAUAGUAAAUUAUGUAUUGGUUUUUAUAUAGUUUUGAUGUAUCCACAUAGAAUUACAUCUCAAAAUAGUAAAUACAACAUUCUUGUCUUAUAUGUAUGAGCAUGCAGGGAUGGAGGACUGAGCAAUUUUUCAGCCGUGAUAAUGGAAACCAUUUAAGAAAGCUGGACAUGGGAAUCAUAACCAGCACCAGGCUUCCAUGAACUCGGUAAGGCCUUGUUUGCUUCUAUCAAUUUCUCCUCUCCAUUUCCAUUGCGUACUUUGACCCUAAGCUUAAGAGCACCAGUUGGUGGAACAGGCAAGUCCCAAACCGCACCCCACGCCUUGUUCAUACUUAUCCAUUUAUCUCCACCUUCCUGAAGUACACAACCCAAAUGUUAUAUUACCAGAUCUGCUCAUUUUAGGAAGAAAUGGAAUCAAUAAAGAGAGUUAAACCUUAAUUGAAAUCAAAUGCAUACCGGCUGUAAUUCGACACCAUGUAUAUCUUGUUCCCCAUUGUAGAACAUAGGAACUAUGGCCAAGUAGUGAGGGAACCUGCUAUGCUCUACCACCUUGAAGAUUAGGUUGUAACCAGGGAACCGGCAUGGUGUACGUUGGUAAUCCACGUCCACAACCCCUAAUAAGUAGAGCUCGGUGGUCUUACUCGGGUAAGCCAUGCUGCCGUAAGCGUGUGGGCUUAGGACGAAAUGAGCAUCGUCUGCUGCAGCGUUAUCAGUCACUACUACUGUUAUCCCUUCCUGAUUGCAUAGAUCUGCAGCUUUACACCUCACCUGAUGAGAAAUUGUAUGAUCAUUUAAUCUUAUCGUACUCUUUAUGAUUUUAUCAGGUUUGGAAAUUUGCAAAAGUCUUUACCUGGUAGCAAGCACCGCAGCCAGUUCCAUUGUUCCAGAGUCCAGAAACGCCGCCUACUAGAGCAUUGUUGAUGGUUCUUCCAUGGAUGCCAUAACCACAAGCUCCACCUACGCAAACCAAU